rnacentral:rRNA from 1 species
AACGUGGGAGGCAAGCGUUAUCCAGGUUCACUGGGCGUAAAGAGCGUGUAGGCGGUGACACAAGUUGGGCGUGAAAUCUCUCGGCUCAACCGAGAGACGCCGCCCAAUACUGUGUCACUUGAGGGCAGGAGGAGAAAGUGGAACUCCCGGUGUAGCAGUGCAAUGCGGAUAUCGGGAAGAACACCAAUAGCGAAGGCAGCUUCCUAUCCUGUUCCCGACGCUGAGGCGCGAAAGCCAGGGGAGCGAGCAGG